rnacentral:rRNA from 1 species
UACGGGGGGAGCAAGCGUUGUUCGGAAUUACUGGGCGUAAAGGGCGCGUAGGCGGCCUUCUAAGUCGAACGUGAAAUCCCCGGGCUCAACCCGGGAACUGCGUCCGAUACUGGAAGGCUUGAAUCCGGGAGAGGGAUGCGGAAUUCCAGGUGUAGCGGUGAAAUGCGUAGAUAUCAGGAGGAACACCCAUAGCGAAGGCAGCUCGCUGGGACGGUACUGACGCUGAGGCGCGAAAGCGUGGGGAGCGAACAGG